rnacentral:rRNA from 1 species
UACAGGCUUAACACAUGCAAGUCGAGGGGCAGCAUGGUCUUAGCUUGCUAAGGCUGAUGGCGACCGGCGCACGGGUGAGUAACACGUAUCCAACCUGCCGUCUACUCUUGGCCAGCCUUCUGAAAGGAAGAUUAAUCCAGGAUGGGAUCAUGAGUUCACAUGUCCGCAUGAUUAAAGGUAUUUUCCGGUAGACGAUGGGGAUGCGUUCCAUUAGAUAGUAGGCGGGGUAACGGCCCACCUAGUCAACGAUGGAUAGGGGUUCUGAGAGGAAGGUCCCCCACAUUGGAACUGAGACACGGUCCAAACUCCUACGGGAGGCAGCAGUGAGGAAUAUUGGUCAAUGGGCGAUGGCCUGAACCAGCCAAGUAGCGUGAAGGAUGACUGCCCUAUGGGUUGUAAACUUCUUUUAUAAAGGAAUAAAGUCGGGUAUGCAUACCCGUUUGCAUGUACUUUAUGAAUAAGGAUCGGCUAACUCCGUGCCAGCAGCCGCGGUAAUACGGAGGAUCCGAGCGUUAUCCGGAUUUAUUGGGUUUAAAGGGAGCGUAGAUGGAUGUUUAAGUCAGUUGUGAAAGUUUGCGGCUCAACCGUAAAAUUGCAGUUGAUACUGGAUGUCUUGAGUGCAGUUGAGGCAGGCGGAAUUCGUGGUGUAGCGGUGAAAUGCUUAGAUAUCACGAAGAACUCCGAUUGCGAAGGCAGCCUGCUAAGCUGCAACUGACAUUGAGGCUC